UACGUAGGUGGCAAGCGUUGUCCGGAUUUACUGGGCGUAAAGAGCGCGCAGGCGGUCGUUCAAGUCGCGUGUGAAAGCCCCCGGCUCAACUGGGGAGGGUCACGCGAUACUGAUCGACUCGAAGGCAGGAGAGGGUAGUGGAAUUCCCGGUGUAGUGGUGAAAUGCGUAGAUAUCGGGAGGAACAUCAGUGGCGAAGGCGACUACCUGGCCUGUUCUUGACGCUGAGGCGCGAAAGCGUGGGGAGCAAACAGG
rnacentral:rRNA from 1 species